GACGAACGCUGGCGGCGUGCUUAACACAUGCAAGUCGAACGCUGAAGCUUGGUGCUUGCACUGGGUGGAUGAGUGGCGAACGGGUGAGUAAUACGUGAGUAACCUGCCCUUGACUCUGGGAUAAGCCUGGGAAACUGGGUCUAAUACUGGAUACGACAUGCCACUGCAUGGUGGUGUGUGGAAAGGGUUUUACUGGUUUUGGAUGGGCUCACGGCCUAUCAGCUUGUUGGUGGGGUAAUGGCCUACCAAGGCGACGACGGGUAGCCGGCCUGAGAGGGUGACCGGCCACACUGGGACUGAGACACGGCCCAGACUCCUACGGGAGGCAGCAGUGGGGAAUAUUGCACAAUGGGCGGAAGCCUGAUGCAGCGACGCCGCGUGAGGGAUGACGGCCUUCGGGUUGUAAACCUCUUUCAGCACGGAAGAAGCGAGAGUGACGGUACGUGCAGAAAAAGCGCCGGCUAACUACGUG
rnacentral:rRNA from 1 species